AUGAAUCAAAACGCACACAGCCAGCCUCACUCUCAUCCUUUUUUUUUUCAAAUUUUCCAAGUGUGUGUAACAAACUUCUCAACCACGGUUAAAGGUAUAACCUCACUCACACCACACUAUAAAAGCCUCUCAUCUCUCAUAAUCAAAUCAGUGAUCUCAGUUUGGUCAGAAACCAGAUCUGAUUUCACUCUUCUCUCUCAAGAACUUCUCUCUUCUAGUCACACAAGAGUUGCUCGUUUCUAUUUUUGUAAAGUUCAAGGCAUUGAGCAGUAG